UACGUAGGGUGCAAGCGUUGUCCGGAAUUAUUGGGCGUAAAGAGCUCGUAGGCGGUUUGUCGCGUCUGCUGUGAAAACCCGAGGCUCAACCUCGGGCCUGCAGUGGGUACGGGCAGACUAGAGUGCGGUAGGGGAGAUUGGAAUUCCUGGUGUAGCGGUGGAAUGCGCAGAUAUCAGGAGGAACACCAAUGGCGAAGGCAGAUCUCUGGGACGUAACUGACGCUGAGACGCGAAAGCGUGGGGAGCAAACAGG
rnacentral:rRNA from 1 species